GUGUCAGCAGCCGCGGUAAUACGGAGGGGGCUAGCGUUGUUCGGAAUUACUGGGCGUAAAGCGCACGUAGGCGGCUUAUCAAGUCAGGGGUGAAAUCCCGGAGCUUAACUCCGGAACUGCCUUUGAGACUGAUAGGCUUGAGUUCGGGAGAGGUAAGUGGAAUACCUAGUGUAGAGGUGAAAUUCGUAGAUAUUAGGUGGAACACCAGUGGCGAAGGCGACUUACUGGACCGAUACUGACGCUGAGGUGCGAAAGCGUGGGUAGCAAACAGGAUUAGAUACCCUGGUAGUCCACACCGUAAACGAUGAAUGCCAGUCGUCGGCAAGCAUGCUUGUCGGUGACACACCUAACGGAUUAAGCAUUCCGCCUGGGGAGUACGGUCGCAAGAUUAAAACUUAAAUGAAUUGGCGGGG
rnacentral:rRNA from 1 species